rnacentral:rRNA from 1 species
AUUGAACGCUGGCGGCAUGCCUUACACAUGCAAGUCGAACGGCAGCACGGGAGCAGUCCUGGUGGCGAGUGGCGAACGGGUGAGUAAAGUAUCGGAACGUGCCCAGUCGUGGGGGAUAACGUAGCGAAAGUUACGCUAAUACCGCAUACGAUCUAUGGAUGAAAGCGGGGGAUCGCAAGACCUCGCGCGAUUGGAGCGGCCGAUAUCAGAUUAGGUAGUUGGUGGGGUAAAGGCUCACCAAGCCGACGAUCUGUAGCUGGUCUGAGAGGACGACCAGCCACACUGGGACUGAGACACGGCCCAGACUCCUAUGGGAGGCAGCAGUGGGGAAUUUUGGACAAUGGGCGAAAGCCUGAUCCAGCCAUGCCGCGUGCAGGAUGAAGGCCUUCGGGUUGUAAACUGCUUUUGUACGGAACGAAAAGGUUUGGGCUAAUAAGCUGAGCUCAUGACGGUACCGUAAGAAUAAGCACCGGCUAACUACGUGCCAGCCGCCGCCGUAA